GAACGCUAGCUACAAGCUUAACACAUGCAAGUCGAGGGGCAGCAUGGUCUUAGCUUGCUAAGGCCGAUGGCGACCGGCGCACGGGUGAGUAACACGUAUCCAACCUGCCGUCUACUCUUGGACAGCCUUCUGAAAGGAAGAUUAAUACAAGAUGGCAUCAUGAGUCCACAUGUUCACAUGAUUAAAGGUAUUCCGGUAGACGAUGGGGAUGCGUUCCAUUAGAUAGUAGGCGGGGUAACGGCCCACCUAGUCUUCGAUGGAUAGGGGUUCUGAGAGGAAGGUCCCCCACAUUGGAACUGAGACACGGUCCAAACUCCUACGGGAGGCAGCAGUGAGGAAUAUUGGUCAAUGGGCGAGAGCCUGAACCAGCCAAGUAGCGUGAAGGAUGACUGCCCUAUGGGUUGUAAACUUCUUUUAUAAAGGAAUAAAGUCGGGUAUGCAUACCCGUUUGCAUGUACUUUAUGAAUAAGGAUCGGCUAACUUCGUGCCAGCAGCCGCGGUAAUACGGAGGAUCCGAGCGUUAUCCGGAUUUAUUGGGUUUAAAGGGAGCGUAGAUGGAUGUUUAAGUCAGUUGUGAAAGUUUGCGGCUCAACCGUAAAAUUGCAGUUGAUACUGGAUAUCUUGAGUGCAGUUGAGGCAGGCGGAAUUCGUGGUGUAGCGGUGAAAUGCUUAGAUAUCACGAAGAACUCCGAUUGCGAAGGCAGCCUGCUAAGCUGCAACUGACAUUGAGGCUCGAAAGUGUGGGUAUCAAACAGGAUUAGAUACCCUGGUAGUCCACACGGUAAACGAUGAAUACUCGCUGUUUGCGAUAUACGGCAAGCGGCCAAGCGAAAGCGUUAAGUAUUCCACCUGGGGAGUACGCCGGCAACGGUGAAACUCAAAGGAAUUGACGGGGGCCCGCACAAGCGGAGGAACAUGUGGUUUAAUUCGAUGAUACGCGAGGAACCUUACCCGGGCUUAAAUUGCAGAUGAAUUACGGUGAAAGCCGUAAGCCGCAAGGCAUCUGUGAAGGUGCUGCAUGGUUGUCGUCAGCUCGUGCCGUGAGGUGUCGGCUUAAGUGCCAUAACGAGCGCAACCCUUGUUGUCAGUUACUAACAGGUUCCGCUGAGGACUCUGACAAGACUGCCAUCGUAAGAUGUGAGGAAGGUGGGGAUGACGUCAAAUCAGCACGGCCCUUACGUCCGGGGCUACACACGUGUUACAAUGGGGGGUACAGAGGGCCGCUACCACGCGAGUGGAUGCCAAUCCCCAAAACCUCCCUCAGUUCGGACUGGAGUCUGCAACCCGACUCCACGAAGCUGGAUUCGCUAGUAAUCGCGCAUCAGCCACGGCGCGGUGAAUACGUUCCCGGGCCUUGUACACACCGCCCGUCAAGCCAUGGGAGCCGGGGGUACCUGAAGUGCGUAACCGCGAGGAGCGCCCUAGGGUAAAACUGGUGACUGGGGCU
rnacentral:rRNA from 1 species